AUGAACGCUGGCGGCGUGCCUAAUACAUGCAAGUCGAGCGAACAGACGAGGAGCUUGCUCCUCUGACGUUAGCGGCGGACGGGUGAGUAACACGUGGAUAACCUACCUAUAAGACUGGGAUAACUUCGGGAAACCGGAGCUAAUACCGGAUAAUAUAUUGAACCGCAUGGUUCAAUAGUGAAAGACGGUUUUGCUGUCACUUAUAGAUGGAUCCGCGCCGCAUUAGCUAGUUGGUAAGGUAACGGCUUACCAAGGCAACGAUGCGUAGCCGACCUGAGAGGGUGAUCGGCCACACUGGAACUGAGACACGGUCCAGACUCCUACGGGAGGCAGCAGUAGGGAAUCUUCCGCAAUGGGCGACAGCCUGACGGAGCAACGCCGCGUGAGUGAUGAAGGUCUUCGGAUCGUAAAACUCUGUUAUUAGGGAAGAACAAAUGUGUAAGUAACUAUGCACGUCUUGACGGUACCUAAUCAGAAAGCCACGGCUAACUACGUG
rnacentral:rRNA from 1 species